rnacentral:rRNA from 1 species
GAUGAACGCUAGCGACAGGCUUAACACAUGCAAGUCGAGGGGCAGCACACGUAGCAAUACCGGGUGGCGACCGGCGCACGGGUGAGUAACGCGUAUGCAACUUGCCUAUCAAAGGGGGAUAACCCGGCGAAAGUCGGACUAAUACCGCAUGAAGCAGGGAUCCCGCAUGGGAAUAUUUGCUAAAGAUUCAUCGCUGAUACAUAGGCAUGCGUUCCAUUAAGCAGUUGGCGGGGUAACCGCCCACCAAACCGACCAUGGAUAGGGGUUCUGAGAGGAAGGUCCCCCACAUUGGUACUGAAACACGGACCAAACUCCUACGGGAGGCAGCAGUGAGGAAUAUUGGUCAAUGGCCGAGAGGCUGAACCAGCCAAGUCGCGUGAGGGAUGAAGGUUCUAUGGAUCGUAAACCUCUUUUAUCACGGAAUAAAGUGCGGAACUUGUCCUAUUUUGUAUGUACCUUAUGAAUAAGGAUCGGCUAACUCCGUGCCAACACCCGCGGUAAUACGGAUGAUCCGAGCGUUAUCCGGAUUUAUGGGUUUAAAGGGUGCGUAGGCGGCCUUUUAAGUCAGCGGUGAAAGUCUGUGGCUCAACCAUAGAAUUGCCGUUGAAACUGGGGGGCUUGAGUAUGUUUGAGGCAGGCGGAAUGCGUGGUGUAGCGGUGAAAUGCAUAGAUAUCACGCAGAACCCCGAUUGCGAAGGCAGCCUGCCAAGCCAUGACUGACGCUGAUGCACGAAAGCGUGGGGAUCAAACAGGAUUAGAUACCCUGGUAGUCCACGCAGUAAACGAUGAUCACUAGCUGUUUGCGAUACACUGUAAGCGGCACAGCGAAAGCGUUAAGUGAUCCACCUGGGGAGUACGCCGGCAACGGUGAAACUCAAAGGAAUUGACGGGGGCCCGCACAAGCGGAGGGACAUGUGGUUUAAUUCGAUGAUACGCGAGGAACCUUACCCGGGUUUGAACGCAUUCGGACCGAGGUGGAAAUACCUUUUCUAGCAAUAGCCGUUUGCGAGGUGCUGCAUGGUUGUCGUCAGCUCGUGCCGUGAGGUGUCGGCUUAAGUGCCAUAACGAGCGCAACCCUUGCCACUAGUUACUAACAGGUAAAGCUGAGGACUCUGGUGGGACUGCCAGCGUAAGCUGCGAGGAAGGCGGGGAUGACGUCAAAUCAGCACGGCCCUUACAUCCGGGGCGACACACGUGUUACAAUGGCGUGGACAAAGGGAAGCCACCUGGCGACAGGGAGCGAAUCCCCAAAACCACGUCUCAGUUCGGAAUCGGAGUUCUGCAAACCCGGACUCCGUGAGGCUGGAUUCGCUAGUAUUCGCGCAUUCAGCCAUGGCGCGGUAAAUACGUUCCCGGGCCU